AGGAAACGGAAGCAGGUUGUUCCUGCAUGAAAAAGAGUUGAUGAAAAUGCAGUCUCUUCAAAGAGGUCCAGUCCCUCCAUCUGGACCAUCUGGUUGCACCAAUAUCCCUGGAAAUGGUGGCUCUGGCUCAGGUUGACCACUCAAUGAAAUUCACUUUGCUGGUCGACAUGUUAAUUUGUUAAGAGCUACUUCUUCUGCUUAUCCCAGCAGCCUCAUGGUUCAGUUUGGUGUCGCUCUACGUUAAUAGGAAUGAAGCUCAUCUACAGUGCAACAACUGAGGAUUAUAUUAGCAAGAUGGUGUCUUUUAUUUUUUUUAUUCUUUACAUUUCUUACAACUCCUUUUUGGAUUUUCAUCGGGAGAACACUAGCUAUCGUUUCAG
rnacentral:lncRNA from 1 species